CAGCAGCCGCGGUAAUACAGAGGGUGCGAGCGUUAAUCGGAUUUACUGGGCGUAAAGCGUGCGUAGGCGGCUUCUUAAGUCGGAUGUGAAAUCCCUGAGCUUAACUUAGGAAUUGCAUUCGAUACUGGGAAGCUAGAGUAUGGGAGAGGAUGGUAGAAUUCCAGGUGUAGCGGUGAAAUGCGUAGAGAUCUGGAGGAAUACCGAUGGCGAAGGCAGCCAUCUGGCCUAAUACUGACGCUGAGGUACGAAAGCAUGGGGAGCAAACAGGAUUAGAUACCCCCGUAGUCCUGUCUCUUAUACA
rnacentral:rRNA from 1 species